GGCGGACGGGUGAGUAAUGCAUGGGAAUCUACCCAGUAGCGGGGGACAACCCGGGGAAACUCGGGCUAAUACCGCAUACGCCCUACGGGGGAAAGGCUUCGGCCACUAUUGGAUGAGCCCAUGUCGGAUUAGCUAGUUGGUGGGGUAAAGGCCUACCAAGGCGACGAUCCGUAGCUGGUCUGAGAGGACGAUCAGCCACACUGGGACUGAGACACGGCCCAGACUCCUACGGGAGGCAGCAGUGGGGAAUAUUGGACAAUGGGCGAAAGCCUGAUCCAGCAAUGCCGCGUGUGUGAAGAAGGCCUGCGGGUUGUAAAGCACUUUCAGUAGGGAAGAUAAUGACGGUACCUACAGAAGAAGCACCGGCUAACUCUGUGCCAGCAGCCGCGGUAAUACAGAGGGUGCUAGCGUUAAUCGGAAUUACUGGGCGUAAAGCGCGCGUAGGCGGUUUGUUAAGUCGGAUGUGAAAUCCCCGGGCUCAACCUGGGAAUUGCAUUCGAUACUGGCAGGCUAGAGUAUGGUAGAGGGAAGUGGAAUUCC
rnacentral:rRNA from 1 species